CCAAAGACAUAGCCCUAUGACAAAGUUAUAAGGUGAAGCCUGCCCAAUGAUUGUUAAUAACUUCAAUAAAAUCAAUUUAAUGGCCGCGGUAACUCUGACCGUGAUAAAGUAGCAUAAUCACUUGUCACUUAAUUAGUGACUGGAAUGAAUGGCUAAACGAAUCCUCCUCUGUCUCUAAGAGAACUCCGGCAAAUUUGAAUUAGUAGUGAAGAUGCUACUAAAUAAUUGUAAGACGAAAAGACCCUAUCGAGCUUUACUGAAAGCUUGUAGAUUUUUACAGAUAUUAACCGCAAAUCUAUACAUACUGCAAGACCGACAGUUUGGUUGGGGCGACCACCCUUAAAAACGUACCAAGGGAACUCUAAAGGCCUUUAUAACAUGAAAAAUAGCCUUACUGGAGACAAACAAGUCAAUCAGUUACAAAUGUAGGACAUAUUGACCCGUUAUUUCUUUCUUAACAAAUAACGAAUACGAAAAAAGUUACCGUAGGGAUAACAGGGUAAUAUUUUCAAAGAGUUCAUAUCGAUGAAAGUGUUUGCCACCUCGAUGUUGAAUUGUGAUAUCCUAGGGGUGCAGCAGCUCCUAAGGGUUGGUCUGUUCGACCAUUAAAAUCAUACAUGAUUUGAGUUCAUUCCGUCGUA
rnacentral:rRNA from 1 species